CAACAUUCAAGGAAGUCCAGCGUUCUUGAGAAUUUGCCCACAGACGAGGAUAAUUCAUGGGAAAUCUUAAGAGAAAUUGUGAAACCAGAACUGUCACCCUCUUGAUCCCUGCUUUUACUGUUAUGGCAUCUCUCCCAAGUAACAAAAAGUGAGCUCCAAGGAUCCUGCUGUUCCUGCCUACUCACCCUCACUGGGGUUGCAGGCACAUGGCCACCCUUGUGUUUUUAACACUGACCCCCGAAUUUGAACUUGGGUCCUUCCUCAAGCUUGCAUAUGUGGACUGGAAUGUGAGCUCUCAGCUGCUACUCCAGCUCCAUGCCUGCUUGCCUAAAGUCAUGCUCCCUGAUAUGACUAACGAUGGAUCCCUGCACUGAAGAGAAUGGUUUUGUGCUCAAUGAUGACAUCACGAUGAUCUGUGAAGACAGACAAACAGCACUCAAGUUACCUUGUUCUGCACUGUUCUUGCUUUGCAUUUGUAUUUACUAGAGUGAUGCACAGAAAAAACCAUGA